GGUUGUCGUCAGCUCGUGUCGUGAGAUUGGUUGGGUUAAGUCCCGCAACGAGCGCAAACCCUCGCCUCUAGUUGCCAGCAUUCGGUUGGGCACUCUAAGGUGACUGCCGGCUAAAAGUCGGAGAAGUGGGGAUGACGUCAAAUCAUCAUGCCCCUUAUGACCUGGGCUACACACGUGCUACAAUGGGCGGUACAAAGGGUCGCGAACCCGCGAGGGGGAGCCAAUCCCAAAAAGCCGCUCUCAGUUCGGAUUGCAGGCUGCAACUCGCCUGCAUGAAGCCGGAAUCGCUAGUAAUCGCGGAUCAGCAUGCCGCGGUGAAUACGUUCCCGGGCCUU
rnacentral:rRNA from 1 species